AUGAACGCUGGCGGCGUGCCUAACACAUGCAAGUCGAACGGAGUCCAGCCUUUAAGACCUUCGGGUCAAAGAGGGGAAGACUGAGUGGCGGACGGGUGAGUAACACGUGGGCAACCUGGCUCAUAGAGGGGGAUAACAGAGAGAAAUUUCUGCUAAUACCGCAUAAGCACACACUGCCGCAUGGCAGAGGGUGAAAAGAGAAUCGCUAUGAGAUGGACCCGCGUCUGAUUAGCCAGUUGGCAGGGUAAGAGCCUACCAAAGCGACGAUCAGUAGCCGAUCUGAGAGGAUGAACGGCCACAUUGGGACUGAGACACGGCCCAAACUCCUACGGGAGGCGGCAGUGGGGGAUAUUGCACAAUGGGGGGAACCCUGAUGCAGCGACGCCGCGUGAGUGAAGAAGUAUUUCGGUAUGUAAAGCUCUAUCAGCAGGGAAGAUAAUGACAGUACCUGAAUAAGAAGCCCCGGCUAACUACGUG
rnacentral:rRNA from 1 species